rnacentral:rRNA from 1 species
GACGAACGCUGGCGGCGUGCCUAAUACAUGCAAGUAGAACGCUGAAGGAGGAGCUUGCUUCUCUGGAUGAGUUGCGAACGGGUGAGUAACGCGUAGGUAACCUGCCUGGUAGCGGGGGAUAACUAUUGGAAACGAUAGCUAAUACCGCAUAAGAGUAGAUGUUGCAUGACAUUUGCUUAAAAGGUGCAAUUGCAUCACUACCAGAUGGACCUGCGUUGUAUUAGCUAGUUGGUGGGGUAACGGCUCACCAAGGCGACGAUACAUAGCCGACCUGAGAGGGUGAUCGGCCACACUGGGACUGAGACACGGCCCAGACUCCUACGGGAGGCAGCAGUAGGGAAUCUUCGGCAAUGGACGGAAGUCUGACCGAGCAACGCCGCGUGAGUGAAGAAGGUUUUCGGAUCGUAAAGCUCUGUUGUAAGAGAAGAACGAGUGUAAGAGUGGAAAGUUCACACUGUGACGGUAUCUUACCAGAAAGGGACGGCUAACUACGUGCCAGCAGCCGCGGUAAUACGUAGGUCCCGAGCGUUGUCCGGAUUUAUUGGGCGUAAAGCGAGCGCAGGCGGUUAGAUAAGUCUGAAGUUAAAGGCUGUGGCUUAACCAUAGUACGCUUUGGAAACUGUUUAACUUGAGUGCAAGAGGGGAGAGUGGAAUUCCAUGUGUAGCGGUGAAAUGCGUAGAUAUAUGGAGGAACACCGGUGGCGAAAGCGGCUCUCUGGCUUGUAACUGACGCUGAGGCUCGAAAGCGUGGGGAGCAAACAGG